rnacentral:lncRNA from 1 species
UUUUUCUUUCUUUCUUUUUUUUUUUUUUGACAGGAUGGGCUGGGGUUGGGGGAGGAGGAAGCAAGAAUCAAGCAGAGAAGGCGAGCUCCUUUCUGUUAAUCUAACUCAAACUGACGAGUCAUUGAGCUGACUCCAAUCAGCAGGAUCCCCUGGUCGCCUGACUCAGGCCUCCCCAAUCAGAGGUAGAGUCUGCGGUGGACGGACAGACAGGUCCGGAGAGGCUGACCCAAGUGACCACCUGGUAAUUACUUCAACAGCAGAGCGACUCAUACAGCCAGCAGUCCACUUUGUUCUUCUAUAGAUCCUGCCUGUGGUGUUGGAUCUAACAGCUUCUUCCCUGACCCAAGAUUAUGAAGGAUUUCUCCUGUGUUCUCUUCUAAAAAUUUUAUAUUUAGGUAUAUAAUCCAUUUUGAGCUAAUUCUUUUAAAUAGUGCAAAGUAUGGAUUGAAGUUCUUUUUUUUUUUUUUUUGCAGAUACAUAUUUAAUUUUUCCAGCACCAUUUGUUGAAAAGACUAAUGUUCUUGCCUGAAUAGCCUUUGCAUUGUUGUUGAAAAUCAUGUUCACACAUGUACACAUUCCACUGAUCUAUUUGCCUCUUUGUGAAAAUACUACUAUUUUGAUUAAUAUAGAUUUAUAGGGAGUCUUAAAAUCAUAUCUUAAAAAGACAGUGGAAGUUAUUUAACCUUACUCUUGCUUUUAGAAAUUGUUUUGGAUAUUCUAGAUCCUUUGUGUUUCCAUAUAAAUUUUAUAAUCAGUUUGGCAAUUUAUUUAAAAUAUUCUUCUGGGAUUUUGAUGGACAUUACACUGAAUCGAUGGAUCGCUUUGGGGACAACUGACAUCUUGACAAUAUUGAGUCAUCUAACAUAUGAUCAUGGAAAUUGCUCCAUUUAUUUAGAUCUUCUUUCACAUCUUGAAGCAGUGUUUUGCGUUUUCAGUGUAUAGGUAUUUAAUAGAUUUAAAAAUAUGAUCCCUAAAUAUUCAAUGUUUUUGAUGCUAUUGGAAUUUUAAAAAAUUAAUUUCUGUUCUGAGGAAGGAAAAUAAUAAAAGAUUAAACAGGAAAAAUAAAAAUAAUCAAAACAAAAGAUAAAUCAUUGACAAAUAUAAUAAAAAAUAAAAUAAUAAAAAAUAUACAAAA